AGCCUUAGGCCUCUUCUAAGGUAAGCCCUGCCCAGUGAGACUAAGUCUUCAACGGCCGCAGUACUUUGACUGUGCUAAGGUAGCGAAAUCAAUUGGCUUUUAAAUGGAGUCGAGAAUGAACGGGUUCAUGGGAAGAGACUGUCUCUUUAUUGUAUAGUUGAAUUUUAUUAAAGGGUGAAAAUUCCCUUAAAAAGAGAAAAGACGAGAAGACCCUUAGAGUUUAAGUAAUUUUUUGUUGGGGCAACAAGGAAACAUUAUAAUUUUCCUAAUAAAGAUUAACAUUAGUCAAUUUUAUUAAGAAUAAAUAAACUACCUUAGGGAUAACAGCAUAAUUUUUUAAAAAGAUUGUGACCUCGAUGUUGGACUAGGGACUAAAUGACUAGCCGUCAAAAUA
rnacentral:rRNA from 1 species